rnacentral:rRNA from 1 species
UACGGAGGGUGCAAGCGUUAUCCGGAUUCCCUGGGUUUAAAGGGUGCGUAGGUGGGCAGGUAAGUCAGUGGUGAAAUCUCCGGGCUUAACCCGGAAACUGCCGUUGAUACUAUUUGUCUUGAAUAUUGUGGAGGUAAGCGGAAUAUGUCAUGUAGCGGUGAAAUGCUUAGAUAUGACAUAGAACACCAAUUGCGAAGGCAGCGUACUACACAAUGAUUGACACUGAGGCACGAAAGCGUGGGGAUCAAACAGG